rnacentral:lncRNA from 1 species
UUUUUUUCUGAAAACAGGCUUAUAUGAAUAAAACUUUCGGACCUCAUAAGGUUUUACAAGGUAUUGGUACUUCAAAAGUAUUGUGUUUCUUUCAGAUGAGUCUUGUGGGCAUGAAAGGUGUAAUCUGAGUCAUAUUAUUUAGAUUUACAGUUUUGCAACUAACACAUAUACACGCUAAUUGUUUUGUGAAAUAUUUUAAGUUUC